UUAAGUCUGAUAAUCUCGUUUAGAAUUUUUUGAUAUGCGAGCGGCUCCAUCCAAAGUGAGAUGAAUGCCGUCUCUUCUAAUCAGACCAGGCUUUCCCCAGAACGCGCUCCACGUACCCUACAUCAUUAGCUGGGCCCACCCUGACAAACAGCAGUUGAAGGAUGACAUGCGGCUGUACAUGUCAUUGCUGAUCAGGUUUGACAGGGCUCCAGAGAAAACUACUGGGUCCAACAUUGUCUUAACAUAUGCACAAAGCCACUCAACGUUCAUUUUAGUGAUUUCCAAUUUGCGUAAUCGGGUAUCAUUACCACCUAUAUGAAGUAUCAUCUUACUGUAUUUAAGGUUAUCUUAAGCCA